AUGAAAAAUGCUCAUGGAGAAAAUUGGGAAGAGGAGCACCCAGAUUUAGAUGGACAAAUCAUCUACGAAGCAGCAGGUAGAAUGCCACAUGGCAGGCUGGGAAUUGCUAAUGAGUUAUUUAGCAAAGCAGAGAAGGCCAAGUUUAAGUCUAAAAGGGUGAUGGCCUCACAACCGGUGCGGUCUGCUAGGGAGGACCGUCUAGAAAGAGAGAACAAACAUUUGAAGCGGGAGAACAAGCAUCUUCGAGGCAUUGAGCUUGUUGUGCAGGUAAUCUUUCCUUCUCUUAUAAAUUGGAGUCUGAGUGGAUAG
rnacentral:rRNA from 1 species